AUUGAACGCUGGCGGCAUGCCUUACACAUGCAAGUCGAACGGUAACAGGUCUUCGGAUGCUGACGAGUGGCGAACGGGUGAGUAAUACAUCGGAACGUGCCCGAUCGUGGGGGAUAACGGAGCGAAAGCUUUGCUAAUACCGCAUACGAUCUACGGAUGAAAGCAGGGGACCGCAAGGCCUUGCGCGGACGGAGCGGCCGAUGGCAGAUUAGGUAGUUGGUGGGAUAAAAGCUUACCAAGCCGACGAUCUGUAGCUGGUCUGAGAGGACGACCAGCCACACUGGGACUGAGACACGGCCCAGACUCCUACGGGAGGCAGCAGUGGGGAAUUUUGGACAAUGGGCGCAAGCCUGAUCCAGCCAUGCCGCGUGCAGGAUGAAGGCCUUCGGGUUGUAACUGCUUUUGUACGGAACGAAAAGACUCCUUCUAAUAAAGGGGUCCAUGACGGUACCGUAAGAAUAAGCACCGGCUAACUACGUGCCAGCAGCCGCGGUAAAAC
rnacentral:rRNA from 1 species